GAAUAAAACAAUUACUUUACAGCUCAGUGCAAUGUAGUAUUUAAAGAAAAGGUAGGCAUUUUGAUUCCCAAGUAAACUAAAGAGAAGAAAACUGAGGCUUAAAGAGGGCCUGUUUGCGUGUUCCCAACUGCUAUGUGGCCAAGAAUAACAAUCUUUAAUAUUGGUAUCCUUAUUUACAAAGAAAAUGAGUGCAGAAAGGACAAGUAGUUUUCGUGAAACCACUUGGAAGUGGAGGAGAAGGGUUUUGAACUCCCAUCAUCUCAAGCUCAUGCUUUGCCAUCUCACCACAGUGAAAUGAUGGAAAACUCAAGUCUGCAAACCUUAAAUUUUCAAUCAAAGGGAGGAAACCUUGGGCAAAUGAAGAGGUCAUGGAUAUGAUAUGAAAAUAUUUUAUGAUUUUGCAUGUGAGAAGCUACUGCAUAGAUGAAUUCAACUGCAGGAUCCCUUUUAAAAAAUAUGUAUCUUCAAGAUUGAGUGUGAGCCUUCACAAACUCCUCCUUGUAUCUUAAGUCUGCUGGAGUACUGGCCUGACUCCACUCACUCACUGUGUACUUCGUUUGAAACUAACAAACAAUACAGUGACUGUCAGUAGAUGUUGCCUCCUCAGUCUACAGAGCCAACAAAAAUUAUGGAAAAUGUCAUCAGAUUUCCAUGACAACAUCACGCUGUAUAAUCAACAUGGUUCGAACUAGUCACAUCUUUGCACAACUGGACACAUCAAAAUAAUUGUAUUAUGUCAUCAGUGAUGCCACCAGACAGAGCACCAGCUCCCUUCCUACACUGGAUAGCAGACGUUCAAAUAACGCAAUGUACUGAAGAACUAAUACAGUUUAGACACCAGAGGUCUCACAAGUUAAACCCUCUAUAUAAUACAGAGCCCUCCUGAGAAUCAACUUAAGGUGAAAUGUUUUAAAGAAGAGAUAAUGGUGGUGGUGUGGUGGUACAUGUUGAGCAACCAGCUCUCUGGAGCAACUGAAAAAUACUUCUAAUCUGGCAAAUUCAGCGAGAAGACUGAGUUCCUUAAUUUCUGUCAGCACCAGUGAAAAACUGUCCUAAACUGACCCUGGCUUACAGAUGUACCACUGGAUCUUGGACUAAAUGCAAAGAAGAACAGCAGAAUGGUUGGUGGAGAUUCCUAUGCUUUCGACCCAUGGCGGGGUCACUAAGUCAGGUGAAUCACCUCCCACCCCUAAAGAUUCCCACCCAGUUAUGCCUUCUAAUGUGCUGUUCACAGUUUAUCAACUGAUUCUGAAAUUCUGAGACUUAACAGUUUUAAACUGACUGUUUAUGUUUCUUAUUUAUGCUUUUGCCUACCCCAUCAGUCUAAACCUGAUCCCUGAUUUCUCUCCAUUUUGUUUUAACUUCAUUUGAAACUCACGACUUUAAAGUGACUGUACGUUAGUUUUGACCACAACUAAACCUGGCUAAUAAAUGGCUCCACUUUC
rnacentral:lncRNA from 1 species